ACUGCUAUCGGAUUGGUACUAAGCCAUGUGAGUCAUUAUAGCAAUACAAGGCAUACGGCUCAGUAACACGUAGUCAAUCUACCCUAUGGACGGGGAUAACUUCGGGAAACUGAGGAUAAACCCCGAUAGAUCAUAAUGCCUGGAAUGGUUUAUGGUCCAAACGAUUCGUCGCCGUAGGAUGGGAUUGCGGCCUAUCAGCUUGUUGGUGAGGUAAUGGCCCACCAAGGCGAUUACAGGUACGGGCUCUGAGAGGAGAAGCCCGGAGAUGGGUACUGAGACACGGACCCAGGCCCUAUGGGGCGCAGCAGGCGAGAAACCUUUGCAAUGUGCGCAAGCACGACAAGGUUAAUCCGAGUGAUUCCUGCUAAAGGAACCUUUUGUUAGUCGUAAAACCACUAGUGAAUAAGGGGUGGGCAAGUUCUGGUGUCAGCCGCCGCGGUAAAACCAGCACCUCAAGUGGUCAGGAGGAUUAUUGGGCCUAAAGCAUCCGUAGCCUGUUCUGUAAGUUUCCGGUUAAAUCCAUUAGCUCAACUAAUGGGCUGCCGGAAAUACUGUAGAACUAGGAAGUGGGAGAGGUAGACGGUACUCGGUAGGAAGGGGUAAAAUCCUUUGAUCUAUUGAUGACCACCAGUGGCGAAGGCGGUCUACCAGAACACGUUCGACGGUGAGGGAUGAAAGCUGGGGGAGCAAACCGGAUUAGAUACCCGGGUAGUCCCAGCUGUAAACGAUGCAGACUCGGUGAUGCCCUGGCUUGUGGCCAGUGCAGUGCCGCAGGGAAGCCGUUAAGUUUGCCGCCUGGGAAGUACGUACGCAAGUAUGAAACUUAAAGGAAUUGGCGGGGGAGCACCACAAGGGGUGAAG
rnacentral:rRNA from 1 species